rnacentral:rRNA from 1 species
GACGAACGCUGGCGGCGUGCUUAACACAUGCAAGUCGAACGAUGAAGCCGGAGCUUGCUCUGGUGAAUUAGUGGCGAACGGGUGAGUAACACGUGAGUAACCUGCCCUUGACUCUGGGAUAACUGCGGGAAACUGUAGCUAAUACCGGAUACGACCCUCGGAGGCAUCUCCUGGGGGUGGAAAGAAUUUCGGUCAAGGAUGGACUCGCGGCCUAUCAGCUAGUUGGUGAGGUAAAGGCUCACCAAGGCGACGACGGGUAGCCGGCCUGAGAGGGUGACCGGCCACACUGGGACUGAGACACGGCCCAGACUCCUACGGGAGGCAGCAGUGGGGAAUAUUGCACAAUGGGCGCAAGCCUGAUGCAGCAACGCCGCGUGAGGGAUGACGGCCUUCGGGUUGUAAACCUCUUUUAGCAGGGAAGAAGCGAAAGUGACGGUACCUGCAGAAAAAGCACCGGCUAACUACGUGCCAGCCGCCGCCGUAA